rnacentral:rRNA from 1 species
GGGAAGUGAACCAUCUCAGUACCCGGAGGAAGAGAAAGCAAACGCGAUUCCGUCAGUAGCGGCGAGCGAAAGCGGAUCAGCCUAAACCAUGCACGUGCCAAGCUGGCGGGCGUUGCGUGCGUGGUGUUGUGGGGUCCCGAUGUGAUCCGGCUGCCACCGGGUCGAGGAGUUACAAAACGUCCAUCUAGUGGAGCGGUCUGGAACGGCCGGCCACAGAGGGUGAGAGCCCCGUACACGAAAGGUGCGACGACUCCUUAUUCGGGUCCCCGAGUACCACGGGACACGUGGAACCCUGUGGGAAUCCUGGGAGGACCAUCUCCCAAGGCUAAAUACGUCUCGACGACCGAUAGUGAACCAGUACCGUGAGGGAAAGGUGAAAAGCACCCCUGUGAGGGGAGUGAAAUAGUACCUGAAACCGUUUACCUACAAGCAGUGGAAGGGCUAUGCCCCGCAAGGGGAAUGCCUAACCGCGUGCCUUUUGCAUAAUGAGCCGGCUAGUUACUCUCGGCGGCAAGGUUAAGCACUUUGCGAAGCCGCAGCGAAAGCGAGUCUGAAUAGGGCGAUUCAGUCGUCGGGAGUAGACGCGAAGCGGGAUGAUCUACCCUUGGCCAGGAUGAAGCGUGGGUAACACCACGUGGAGGUCCGAACUAGUGUUGGUUGAAAACAACUUGGAUGAGCUGAGGGUAGGGGUGAAAGGCCAAUCAAAUUCCGUGAUAGCUCGUUCUCCCCGAAAUAGCUUUAGGGCUAGCCUCGCGUGGUUCGUGGCGGUGGUAGAGCACUGGAUGGGUUAGGGACCUUACCCGGUUACCGACCCCAACCAAACUCCGAAUGCCGCCAACGUCAAGCGCGGGAGUCAGACGGCGGGGGAUAAGCUUCGUCGUCAAAAGGGAAAGAACCCAGACCGCCAGCUAAGGUCCCCAAGUCACGGCUAAGUGGUAAAGGAUGUGGGGUUGCCCGGACAUCCAGGAGGUUGGCUUAGAAGCAGCCAUCCUUUAAAGAAAGCGUAAUAGCUCACUGGUCUAGCGAUCCUGUGCCGAAAAUUCAACGGGGCUCAAGCCGUGCACCGAAGCUGCGGAUCUUCUCCACCCGAGGGUGGGGGAGGUGGUAGGGGAGCGUUCCAUGCGGGAUGAAGUCAGACCGUAAGGACUGGUGGACCUCAUGGAAGUGACUCUGCCGGCAUAAGUAGCGAUAAAGCAGACGAGAACUCUGCUCGCCGGAAGCCUAAGGUUUCCUGAGCAAGGUCAAUCCGCUCAGGGUCAGUCGGUCCCUAAGGCGAGGCCGAACGGCGUAGUCGAUGGGAAGCAGGUUAACAUUCCUGCACCACUCUGUCCUCGUUAUCACGAUGGGGUGACGCAGAAGGAUAGGUCGGACUGCCAUUGGAUGUGCAGUUUGAAGCGUGUAGGCGGGGGUGGUAGGCAAAUCCGCCGCCCCGUUAACGCCGAGACGCGAUAUCGAGGGCGCAAGCCCGCAAAGCGACUGAUUCCACGCUGCCAAGAAAAACCUCUAAGGAGAGGGCAGGGUGACCGUACCGGAAUCGGACACACGUAGGCAGGGAGAGAAUCCCGAGGCGCUUGAGUGAUCCCCCGUAAAGGAACUCGGCAAAAUUACACCGUAACUUCGGGAGAAGGUGUGCUCUUUGCCGUGUAGACCCUCGCGGUCGAAGCGGUGGAGAGUCGCAGUGAAAAGGCCCAGGCGACUGUUUACUAAAAACACAGCACUCUGCAAACGUCACAAGCGGACGUAUAGGGUGUGAAGCCUGCCCGGUGCCGGAAGGUUAAGGGGAGGGGUCAUUCCCGCGCAAGCGGGAAGAAGCUCUGAACUGAAGCCCCGGUAAACGGCGGCCGUAACUAUAACGGUCCUAAGGUAGCGAAAUUCCUUGUC